GUAAAAUAAUAUGGUAUUAAGAAAAAUGACGAAGCAUAUCGGAAAAAUAAAUGGUCGCUGAAUUGACUUGGACGUACGGCGGCAGGCAGCGCUGUAGACCUGCGCAAAGGGAUUCUCAAAUCUGACCGUCACCUGUAUUGAAAAGAAGUAACAUUAAGAUACCGGCAAUAUGUUUAGUUUUCAUAAACCUAAAGUUUAUCGAUCCAGUACUGGAUGUUGUAUUUGCAAAGCUAAAUCAAGCAGUUCAAGAUUUACAGACAGCAAAAAGUAUGAAGAUGAUUUUAUGGAAUGUUUUCAAUUAGAAGAAAGACGUACUGGAGAGAUUUGUAAUGCUUGUGUGUUGUUAGUAAAGAGAUGGAAAAAGUUACCAGCUGGAAGUAAUCGCAAUUGGAGACAUGUUGUAGAUGCUCGUGCAGGGCCUGGUAUUAAAUCAUUAACAAAAUUUAAAUCAAAAAAUAAAAAGAAACUUAAAGAUGCACCUGAAAAAUUCGAAAAGAUAAUGAAGAAAAAGAAUAUAUAUAUAAAAUCAGAGACAGAACGCGAACAAAGUCCCGCAAUGAGUGAUGAUUUGAUUGAAGACUAUGUGCCAGAAAAUAGUAGCAAGUGUUCUAGUAGAACAGUUAGUCCUACUGGCAGUGAUGACAUUAAUACAGUUGAUAAACCUUUAGAUAUUGCACAAGAGGAUUCUGAUAUAAAAAAUGAUUUAACUGUUAAUGGCUUUAUUGACUUAUCUUAUUUCAAAAGGGAAAUUAUUUGCUGUGGUACAAUAUUCAAAGGCCCAUAUGGAGAAGUUAUAAUAGAUCCAGCAUUGAUAAAACCAUGUACAGGUUGUCUAUCUAAGCAAAGACAGCAACAAUCAAAUGUGUUAAGAAAUAGUCCAGUACAUAGUUCAGCAUCGGCGAGUCCUGUUCAUAGUUCUGCAUCUGCUAGUCCUACCCACAGCGUAGAAUCAGGUGUAGAUUCAGCGGUGACAAAACAAACAAGUAAAACAUUCAGUGAUUCGUCUUCUGAUUCUGGUUAUGACGAAUCUUCUAAUCAAGGGGUUGGUGAGGGUAGAUAUAUAUGUUAUGACACAAACUUAUUUUUUAAACAUGCUACCAUCAUUGCCCAGACAACAAAGGCUAUGGAAGGAUGUGUUUAAAACUUUAUAUUAAAUACAAUUGAAGAGUUUAUAAUGUUAUGAAUGGGGAUAACUGAUUUCUUAACUAGGCUUCAGUUUUCUGGGCCAAUCUUUGCAAUCGUAUAUGUGAAUACUUAUGUGGAUGUCCCAAAAUGCCAAUCAAUCUUUAAAUGUUCGGGUCCAAAAAUUCUGAAAAGUAAUUCAUAUUAACUAGGAUCUAAUGUUGACAUUGUACCAGAUGCAUUUGAAACUGUCUGUGCAAAACUCCAUGACGUUAAAAUUAAGGAAUCCAAUGAUGUGUUCAGGUAAUAUUAUCCUGAUCCACUUAGAGCAAUAAUAUACAAAUUAAAUUUUUAAUAAAAUAUCUGAAGUUUGAUAAACUUAUCAUAUCACUAUGAUGAUAUAUUUAGGCAGUAUUACUAGGGACGAAAAUUGGUUAAGAAUAUGGCAAUCAGAUUGGCGAACUGGACCAGCAAAUUUAAUUAAGAUAUUUUGAGAUGAGCAAUGAAGACACAAAAUAGGAAUGGGCUGAAUCAAUUUGAUACGAAAUUUAAGUAUAAUAAUAAAUAAAUAAAGGCUGGUAGUUCCUAGAUUUCAGAAAUGGACACGUUACAGAAAGAUAACACAAACUAAUGUACCUGUUGAAAACAGAUUAUUGUGAUUAUUCUCCAGAUCUUAUUUGAAUCAUACAUGUUUCAUGCACAAAAAAUUUUCUGAUAAGAGAUAUGUAUUUUAUUAGGAAAGUCCAUGUACGAUCGCAAAAGGCUUUCUUAUUUCUUUUUUAAUAUCCUUUUGAAUUUUUAAUUAAAAACUUAUAUUAAAAAAUAUCUCUCAAUCUACAGAACUCUUAUUUAAGAUAGCAGUGCAUUUUAUAAUACAUACAUAAACGAUUUUGCAUUUUCAUAGAUAUUUUUAAUGAACUUUAAAACUUGGUCCAUGUGGACGAGGGCUGAGCAUUUUAUAUGUGCAAUAUAUAUUGCUAAUUUUGUCUAGAUUCAAGUAUGUUACUAAAUUUUAAUAUAACUGGCUGAUAGCAACCUAUUGAAUCUGAUAACAACUAUUAGAAAUAUAAAUAAAGUUUGUGAAAUUUAUGAUCUACUAUCAUACUUUAAGUCCAUUUGACAAGAAAUUAAAAGCAUGGUUCAACUCUUUUCCAUCUAGGUAAGUUGUUCAGAAAAUGAACUCUACACAGGUUGUCUUAUUGUAUUGCAUUCACAUAUAUUCUUAUGUGUUGUGCAUAUGAAAUAUAAGCAAAAGAUGAGAACCUUAGAUUAAAUAAUUUCGAUCAAUGAGAUACUCAUGCCAGCAACUGCUAGAAAAGAAAAGAGUUAAUAUACAAAUUUUUAUAUAAUAUUAUGCACUGCCCAUCUGGCUUAAGUGAAUUUACUAUGAAUAAGGAAAAAAGAUUAUUUGUAUGAAGAUAAAUAUUGAAUAUAUAUGAUUUGUUAAAAGACGAUGUAAGAAGCUUGCCUUGCCUUUUGACAAAUUUUCAUUAUACAUUUAUAUUGACUAGGAGAGUCUAUGAUCUCUUUAUUGUGAAUAUUAAUUUCCCCUGUAACUAACAUUAUAAUUUACGAUUUAUAAUAGUAAAAAGGACGGAUCAUAUUGGUUAAAUAAAAUGAAAAAUCUUGAUAUCACACUAUGGAAUUAUGUUUAUAAUUUAUUUAUAAUAAAAACUAAUUAUUCAUAUAAGUAUUCUAUAAAAAUCGUACACUUCAUAUUAUCAUUAAUUAUUUAUCAAAUCUUUAAUCUGUGCAAUGAUCCUUCCUUCUAGAGAGAAAAAAAUAAUUGUUUAAUUUAUUUAUUUUUUAAGUCAAAUUUAUUGCAAUAUAAUAUUCCUUGCUAUACAAAAUUAUAUAUUUUUAUACAGAUUAUCUUUGCUUUUUAUGCUACAUUUUUUGUGUGUAUAUUGAUAGAAAAGAAAAUAUUAAUUAUCACAUUUUCCAGGUCAAUCUGUUCGCAAUAUUCUAAGAAUUAUUUAUUUUUGAUUAUCUUGUAAAUUGAAAUUAAUAAUUCAUUAUUUUCUAAGAAAAAUAUACUUAUAUAUAUAUAUAUAUAUAUAUAUAAGAGAGAGAGAGAGUCAUGGAUUAAUGGAUACCAGAAUAGUUAGGUUGAGUAGCAUGUGUUCGAAGAAAUAUGAUUGGGUGAUACAUACGAUAUAUUAUAUAUUUAAAAGCGUGUUUUUGAAAAGAGAAAAUGUUAAACCAAAAGUUUAUUGAUGAACAUUAUGCAGAAUUUAGAGGAGUCCAUUUUAUGUGCUGCUAACUAUUAUUGUCACAUAAUAAAAUGAUAUUUCUCAUGAAUAUGAAGAUAAAUUCAAUAUAUGCAUAUACUUUAACAGCAAUUUGAUUAAUUUCAAAAUAAUUGAUUAAACAUUACUAUAAAAUUUCUUUAGAACAAUCUACAAUGAAACAGGACAGAUGACAAGGUUGUGCUUAUAUAAUAUUAAGUCUAAGAUUUAAUCAGAUAUUUAUAUUAUCCUUAUGUCAAAGAAAUAUGUGUGCAUUUUUAUUCUAAUUAAUCGAAACCAAUGUUUAUACUAUAAUUAAGAUUUUUAUCAUAUAAAAACAGCAAUAUGAUUUAUAUUAAUGAUAUUGAUAGUAUAAUUGUAUGUGUAUUAAUUUUGGCAAAAUAUGCUAAACAAAUCCUUAAUCAUAUUUUUCACAUUGUAGCCAUUGAUAAAAUGUCUACAAAUAUGACUGAUGUAAGGAGUUCAAAUAUUCUCUCUCAUGAUGUGACCUGGCAGAUUCCAAACAAGUACCUUUUAUCAAGAAUCAUGCAAGAUUGUAAUUUUUUAAAUUAACUGCCAUAUCAGGUUUCUAAAAUUUUCAAAGAUAAAAGAGAUUUUGAUAACAAUUUAAAAAUAUUAUAAUUAAUCCUAUAUAUAUGAUAAAAAUCUCUAAUGGACUGAUAGUUUAGAAACCUGAUUUAAAAUAAUAUUAAUAAUUAUAAUAUGUAAAAGAAAUUUUGCAUAAAUCUUGCAAGUUUCUACUAUGAAUCAAUUACCCUAAUGCACUAUGAUAUUAAAUAUAAUGUUUACUUAGAAUAACGUGGUGCAACUAGAAACAUACAAAAUUUUCUCUAUCUUGCUUACAAAUUUAUAUAUAUAUGUAUAUACAUAUACAUACGCAUACACACAAACACAUACAUAUAUAUACAUAUACUUAAGAUCAGUGUUCGUCCUUCUGAUUCUUGUUAUUAAAGAAACAGGUUUUUCAUAAUAUGCAUUUAUAUUACGAACGAAUUGUCUUUUAUAUUAGAUGAGGAAGUGGAUAUAGAAUUUUUUGAAUACAUUAUGGCAGGGAUGAAUAUGUAUGUAAAUAUAUGCUAGGAGGCAUUCGAUCUCGCAAGAUGUUCUAGUUAUACGAUGACUUUUUCAUCAUUGUGCUACUUGUUAACAUCAGAAAACAUCAAUAUUAAGUACGAUUCUGAGACUGAUCGAUGUAUUUAGCAGAUAACUCUAAUUUACACAAAACUGUUAGAUGUAGGUAAAUAUUGUAACAUUUAUGAAUAUGCUAUGAAAUUCUAAUAAUAACAGACAAUGACUGCCGUAAUUAAUAUUCCAUAAUUACAAUGAUUAUUCUGUUUAUAUAAUGAUUAUUAUAUAUUUGUGUGUGUAUGUAUGUGUGUAUAUAUAUAUAUAUAUAUAUAUAUAUAUAUAUAUAUAUAUAUAUAUAUAUAUAUCUGUAUAUGUAUAUGUAUAUAUAUACGCGCGCGCGCGCACACACACAUAAAUAAUAUAUAAUUAAUCAAUUGAUUACAAUCAUAAAAGUAUCUUUGCAAUUACCACUCUCAUUGAUUUUAUGAUAAAAAGUGUAUAUAAUUGAAAAGAUUAUGGUUACAUAUAUAUAUAUAUAUAUAUAUAU